GGAGGGGUGUCCGAGCGGUUGAAGGAGCAGGUCUCGAAAACCUGUAUACCCGCAAGGGUAUCGAGGGUUCAAAUCCCUCCCCCUCCG
rnacentral:tRNA from 1 species